UGUUCAACAUAUGUGUGACGGCUGAUUGAGUGAACGGGGCAGACCUUGCAGCCACCCGCCUGCCCAGGAGCAGGGGAAGGACUAGCUCCUGGUAAGCUGUGUGCACAUUCAGGUCGUCUUCCUGCGUUCCACUUCUCAUGUGAACAUUUGUGUGCAUACCCGAUCCUGCUCAUGACCGCAUUAACAGCAGUUUUCAUUCACCAGUAGAAAGUCGCAGCAUCAGCCAAGGUCACCACUCAGCAGUUCAAGCCUGCCGUAGGUAGCACCCACAUGAAGGCUAUAACAUGAGCAAAGGGCUAAUCCACAGGGAAGCAAGCGUCCAGUGCCAGCAGAAACCCUCCUG